UCCGUGGUGUCGCUACGGGUCGGAAACGACUCGACGGCGUAAGACAAGUCGUGACGAGACCGCUUGUUACUUCAAGUCUGCUGUGCCCUUACCAGCGGACUUCCAGCCCUCUUCUGCUUUCUCCUCACCUCAAAGGGCUGUUUUGGGGAAGAGUCCAGCUACUCCAGUGAUAAAUGAACCUGAAGAGAUGUAAUAAUGGGUUGGACCGAGAAAAUUCAAA